rnacentral:rRNA from 1 species
CACUGCCUGAUGGAGGGGGAUAACUACUGGAAACGGUAGCUAAUACCGCAUAACGUCGCAAGACCAAAGAGGGGGACCUUCGGGCCUCUUGCCAUCGGAUGUGCCCAGAUGGGAUUAGCUUGUUGGUGGGGUAACGGCUCACCAAGGCGACGAUCCCUAGCUGGUCUGAGAGGAUGACCAGCCACACUGGAACUGAGACACGGUCCAGACUCCUACGGGAGGCAGCAGUGGGGAAUAUUGCACAAUGGGCGCAAGCCUGAUGCAGCCAUGCCGCGUGUAUGAAGAAGGCCUUCGGGUUGUAAAGUACUUUCAGCGGGGAGGAAGGGAGUAAAGUUAAUACCUUUACUCAUUGACGUUACCCGCAGAAGAAGCACCGGCUAACUCCGUGCCAGCAGCCGCGGUAAUACGGAGGGUGCAAGCGUUAAUCGGAAUUACUGGGCGUAAAGCGCACGCAGGCGGUUUGUUAAGUCAGAUGUGAAAU